rnacentral:rRNA from 1 species
AACAAACGCUGGCGGCGUGCCUAACACAUGCAAGUCGUACGAGAAGGGGUCCUUCGGGGCCUGAGUAAAGUGGCGCACGGGUGAGUAACGCGUGGAUAAUCUGCCCUUCUGUUGGGAAUAACUCAUCGAAGGUGGGCUAAUACCGAAUAAUGCUGUGAGACCUCGGUUGAUCAGCCAAAGAGAACCUCUGCUUGCAAGCCCUCGCUGAAGGAAUAAGCCGCGUACCAUUAGCUAGUUGGUAGGGUAAUGGCCUACCAAGGCGACGAUGGUUAGCUGGUCUGAGAGGAUGAUCAGCCACACUGGAACUGAGACACGGUCCAGACUCCUACGGGAGGCAGCAGUGAGGAAUCUUGCGCAAUGGGGGCAACCCUGACGCAGCAACGCCGCGUGAGUGAGGAAGGUCUUCGGAUCGUAAAGCCCUGUCGGAUGGAAAGAACCGCAUAAGGGUAAACAGCCCCUGUGUCUGACAGUACCAUCAAAGGAAGCACCGGCUAACUCCGUGCCAGCCGCCGCAGUAAGAC